UUAUUAAGAUGAAAACAGGCACGUGCUGAACCAAUGCAUAGGUUUGGAGACCUCUAUUCAAAUCAGUAACGGUCAGAGGAUGGCUGGAAGAAUGACUGGUAGACUUAAUCAGUUCAUGAGGCAAGGCUAAAUAUCUGUAUUUAAUUACUAGAGAAUGUGGAUUUGAUAUAUAAUAAACCAUGUAUUUUAAAUCCAGAAGGGACAGGACGACGACCUGUUUGAUUUUUGAAGAGUAAAACAGAAAAAGAAAACAUUGGAGACAUUCACACUGAGGAGAGUUUUGAUAACUCAAUCACAGAUGAAGAUUCUGACCAAUUUGUGAACAACCAAGAGCAGUUUUCAGAAAACAGUUCUGAAUCUACUGUACAGCUUUCAGUACAGUGUGUGGAGAACCAGAGAGGACUUCAUGGGCAAAUUGCAUAUGAUGAAACUUUUUAUCCCAUCAAUCUGCAACCUCAGGCUGAGCCAGACUCUGAAGAUGAAGGCAUUAUAAUCAGCAUGUAAAAAACUCAGCUGAUUUGUAAUUGUAAAAUAAUUAAAAACUAAACUAAAUCUUUUUUAAAAAUUGUAUAAAAAAGUACCUUUAAAGUUUAGAGUAACUAUCAUUUUGCAAGUUUUUAAACACACACACACACACACACACACACACACACACACACACACACACACACACACACACACACACACACACACACACACACACACACUAUAUAUAUAUAUAUAUAUAUAUAUAUAUAUAUAUAUAUAUAUAUAUAUAUAUAUAUAUAUAUAUAUAAUAUAAUAUAUAUAUAUAUAUAUAUAUAUAUAACCUUGGUUAAGUAGAAGAGUGAGUCCACGAUUGUGUGUGGGUCCUUGAACAUGCUGAGUCAGAUCAAAAGUGUUAAGAACAGUCAUAAGCUUUUAAUACAACACAAGCUUUUACAGCAUUGAUUUCUGGAUUAUCAAUGUGAAUAUUAAAAUCCUCAGCAAUAGUAAAAUAGUCAAAUUCAGAGGUCACUAUUGAUAACAGCUCUGUAAAAUCAUCAAUAAAAGUUGAAGAAUAUUUUGGAGGUCUGUAGAUAAUGAUCAGUAAGAUGCGUGGAGCACCUGUUAGUGCUGUACUCAGAUAUUCAAAAUACAAAUAGUCACCAAAUGACACUUGUUUACACUCAUAGGCAUCUUUAAACUGGGUAGCGAUGCCUCCACCUCUCCUAUUGACUCUGCAAACCCUCAAAAAAUCUAAAGUUUAAAGGAGCUGCUUCAUUCAGAAAUGAUGCGCUACAACUGUCAUCUAGCCAAGUUUUAUUUAAGAGCAUAAAAUCAAGGCAAUUUGUGUUGAUAAAAUCAUUGACUAAAAGAGACUUAUUGUUCAGUGAUCUGAUGUUUAAAAGUGCUUACUUAACAGUAUUAGCUCUUUUUUCUACAGUAGUCUCAUUUAAUAGACACAUUCAAUUAGAUUAGAUUUAAGUGGUUUGCUAUACGGCCUGAAGAAGUCUUCGGUUUUCUGUCACAUAAUACAACACAUAUCUGUGUACAGAAAGCUACAGACACACUGGGUUCCUGCUUGUUCUGUAAACAUCUGAUAAAGAUACUGUUAUCUAAACAGCAGUCACCCGAGACACAUCAAUGAGAGCUGUUGUGUUCACCAGCUAAAGAUGGGGCAUUGUUUAUGCCCUGGCGGUAUGGCAAAAGUCGUAGGGCUCUUCCAGGUGGGUUCUUCCAGGCAGUUCUGAUGCAUCACAGUCUGUCUUUGCUAUGAAGCUGCAGGCCCGGAGACCUAACCGCACGCUCAGACCUACUCGCUCAGACGGCUAGACCUGCACUUCCAGACCUUCACAGUGCCACCUGCUGUUUAAAAGAUCGACUAACCUGAUUUCAGCUGCUUCUAAAUUGUAAUUUAAACUAUUUUUCUACUAUAAAAUAUUAGGCUGUAAUUGAAUAGAUUAUUAUAUGAAAUAUUAAACGUACUAGAUUUUUGAUUUAAUACAAUAAUUCUAUUGUAUUUUUAUUAAUUGUAUUUGUAAAUAUAUAUUGUUCAGUUGCUUCAAUAUUUUCAGACAUUUGUUGCUGUUUUUUUAUCAUUAAUGAUUUAUCACUGUUUCGUAUUGAGUUGAGGGAAUGAAUAUUAUCUUCAUAUACAAUAAAUUUCUUCACAUACAAUUAUAGUACUCAAAGUAAUUUUCUCACAACAAACUUUAUUUUUGUGUACUUUUUCAUAAGGUCCUACAAGUCAAGUUGUAAACAAU
ensembl:lincRNA